UAGUGAACCUGCGGAAGGAUCAUUACCGAGUGCGGGCCCUCGCGGCCCAACCUCCCACCCUUGUCUCUCUACCCCUGUUGCUUUGGCGGGCCCACCGGGGCCACCUGGUCGCCGGGGGACGCACGUCCCCGGGCCCGCGCCCGCCGAAGCGCUCUGUGAACCCUGAUGAAGAUGGGCUGUCUGAGUACGAUGAAAAUUGUCAAAACUUUCAACAAUGGAUCUCUUGGUUCCGGCAUCGAUGAAGAACGCAGCGAAAUGCGAUAAGUAAUGUGAAUUGCAGAAUUCCGUGAAUCAUCGAAUCUUUGAACGCACAUUGCGCCCCCUGGCAUUCCGGGGGGCAUGCCUGUCCGAGCGUCAUUUCUGCCCUCAAGCACGGCUUGUGUGUUGGGUGUGGUCCCCCCGGGGACCUGCCCGAAAGGCAGCGGCGACGUCCGUCUGGUCCUCGAGCGUAUGGGGCUCUGUCACUCGCUCGGGAAGGACCUGCGGGGGUUGGUCACCACCAUGUUU
rnacentral:rRNA from 1 species